GAUGAACGCUGGCGGCGUGCCUAAUACAUGCAAGUCGAGCGAACGGACGAGAAGCUUGCUUCUCUGAUGUUAGCGGCGGACGGGUGAGUAACACGUGGAUAACCUACCUAUAAGACUGGGAUAACUUCGGGAAACCGGAGCUAAUACCGGAUAAUAUUUUGAACCGCAUGGUUCAAAAGUGAAAGACGGUCUUGCUGUCACUUAUAGAUGGAUCCGCGCUGCAUUAGCUAGUUGGUAAGGUAACGGCUUACCAAGGCAACGAUGCAUAGCCGACCUGAGCGGGUGAUCAGCCACCCUGGAACUGAGACACGGUCCAGACUCCUACGGGAGGCAGCAGUAGGGAAUCUUCCGCAAUGGGCGAAAGCCUGACGGAGCAACGCCGCGUGCAUGAUGAAGGUCUUCGGAUCGUAAAACUCUGUUAUUAGGGAAGAACAUAUGUGUAAGUACCUGUGCACAUCUUGACGGUACCUAAUCAGAAAGCCACGGCUAACUACGUG
rnacentral:rRNA from 1 species